AAUGAACGCUGGCGGCAGGCCUAACACAUGCAAGUCGAACGGUAGCACAGAGAGCUUGCUCUCGGGUGACGAGUGGCGGACGGGUGAGUAAUGUCUGGGAAACUGCCCGAUGGAGGGGGAUAACUACUGGAAACGGUAGCUAAUACCGCAUAACGUCGCAAGACCAAAGUGGGGGACCUUCGGGCCUCACACCAUCGGAUGUGCCCAGAUGGGAUUAGCUAGUAGGUGGGGUAAUGGCUCACCUAGGCGACGAUCCCUAGCUGGUCUGAGAGGAUGACCGGCCACACUGGAACUGAGACACGGUCCAGACUCCUACGGGAGGCAGCAGUGGGGAAUAUUGCACAAUGGGCGCAAGCCUGAUGCAGCCAUGCCGCGUGUAUGAAGAAGGCCUUCGGGUUGUAAAGUACUUUCAGCGGGGAGGAAGGCGGUGAAGUUAAUAGCUUCACCGAUUGACGUUACCCGCAGAAGAAGCACCGGCUAACUCCGUGCCAGCCGCCGCGGUAA
rnacentral:rRNA from 1 species